rnacentral:rRNA from 1 species
AUUGAACGCUGGCGGCAGGCCUAACACAUGCAAGUCGAGCGGAUGAAGGGAGCUUGCUCCUGGAUUCAGCGGCGGGCGGGUGAGUAAUGCCUAGGAAUCUGCCUGGUAGUGGGGGAUAACGUCCGGAAACGGGCGCUAAUACCGCAUACGUCCUGAGGGAGAAAGUGGGGGAUCUUCGGACCUCACGCUAACAGAUGAGCCUAGGUCGGAUUAGCUAGUUGGUGGGGUAAAGGCCUACCAAGGCGACGAUCCGUAACUGGUCUGAGAGGAUGAUCAGUCACACUGGAACUGAGACACGGUCCAGACUCCUACGGGAGGCAGCAGUGGGGAAUAUUGGACAAUGGGCGAAAGCCUGAUCCAGCCAUGCCGCGUGUGUGAAGAAGGUCUUCGGAUUGUAAAGCACUUUAAGUUGGGAGGAAGGGCAGUAAGUUAAUACCUUGCUGUUUUGACGUUACCAACAGAAUAAGCACCGGCUAACUUCGUG